GGGACCAAACACUCCCUGACCCCGCCGCAUCGCCCUCCGGGGAAGCCGUGCUGGCCGGCUCCCGCCUGCACGGCGGUGUUUCCCGUGUUCUGUUCCGUCCUGUCCUGCCGGCAACAGCCUCGGCCCCGUCUCCCCCUCCUGCCCCCAGCCUGGCCCUUAUCUUCCCGUUAAGCGCUGCAAAGGGAGGCUCUAGGGGCGAGAAAAAAGAAAAGUGAUUUUGGCCACACCGUUCACACGAGCUGAAUUUCCCAGAGCUGGCCCAGCUGCCACCGGGAGAAGAAACCGAGGCAGCCAAAAAACCUACCCCUAAACCGCGCUCCAGAUCGGAGCAGGAGAGAGGAGAGAAAGAGACAAGACAGUAACAUUAACCCUACUCUCAAACCACACUCCAGCAAGAUCGGAGCAGGAGAGGGGAGAGAAAAAAAAAGAAAGAAGACAUUAACAGAAGAAGAUUUUAACGGCAAAAAGUGACUUUGGGAAACGCAUCCCGGCUCCCGGCGAGCCCCUGGCUCCGUGCAACAGGAUCGGGGCUUCCUCCCACCGGGGUAAAUCCUCCCAGGAGAUGAAACCCUGCACCACCACCAAGGAAAAACAGGGAUCUGUGUCCCUAACCAGGCAAAGAAUUUCUUUGAUGUUCACUGUCCACUUGUCUGGAUGUGAACUCUGUCCCGGCUGCUACCCAUGAAGCUCCUUCCACAGGGGAGCGUGAAGUUUGCAUGGGCCAGGGCUGGCCCGGGCAGUGGCAGCAAGGCGAUGUUUCUCUGUCUCCUCAUCAGAAGAAGUGCUAACACUUGUUCAAUUGAAAUGUUGGAGACACAUGGUCUUUGCCAAAAACUCAGCAUGUCUUCCCAUUCAAUCAGAGACUGGAAAAGCUUCUAAUCUUCACAGGAGUCACCCAGAGGGAAGUCUCAGAAAUACCAGAGUUGAUGUUUGUGAUACUUGCAGGAUUAAAAAUAUGCAGAAAAUAGGCCAUCUCCUAUUCUCAUCUAGCA